UACGAACGCACGAAGGCACAGAAGCCUUGACAAAAUCAGUGGUAUUAAAUUUUGUGGACAGCCUGUUUUAUAUUUGAAGCUAUACUUGGUGAUGAUUAGCCAAUGGGGUGUCCGAAGUAAAUAGGGAAGGAAAUGAGCAAAGCUGGUAGUGAUUAUAUAUGAAUAUAACGUUGAAAAUUUUACUGAUUUUAGCUCCCAGUUUCACUGUCAUGAUCGUGUGCAGGAUUGGACAAAACAAGAUGGCAGACGGCAGUUCCAAACAAAGAUCCAGUCAGGAGCGGACUUCCUUAAGCUUAAAAGUUGCAAGUGAAUGAAGUGUGUUCUAUUUUAUGUCUCCUACUAAAACCAUGGUUUUGACAAACCUAGAAGAGCACGUGGAGGAAGGAACUAUCAGUAAGCCGGAAGAGCCAGCUCGAAAAUCUUUAAGUGUUUGAGAAUUUCACCGCGCACAUGAAUCUAAAGUUCUGCCACACGUUAGAAUGAGCCUUGUUCUCGAAGAUCAACAUGUUGAAAAGUCUUCAUUUUGCAGAAGUAAAUACAUUUAUAUUGUAUAUACACAUGUAGACCAUGUUCGAUUCCCAACCACUUAACAUUUGUGAUAUCUGCAUGGAAUUAUUAAAACUGAGCAUGGUUUGACGUAUAAUAAUCUCUUUAGGCACGAUGGUUUACAUUUCACAAAGCUGUUCAAUGACAAUAAAGACAAUAAGAUGU